UACGUAGGGUGCAAGCGUUAAUCGGAAUUACUGGGCGUAAAGCGUGCGCAGGCGGCUAUGCAAGACAGAUGUGAAAUCCCCGGGCUCAACCUGGGAACUGCAUUUGUGACUGCAUGGCUAGAGUACGGUAGAGGGGGAUGGAACUCCGCGUGUAGCAGUGAAAUGCGUAGAUAUGCGGAGGAACACCGAUGGCGAAGGCAAUCCCCUGGACCUGUACUGACGCUCAUGCACGAAAGCGUGGGGAGCAAACA
rnacentral:rRNA from 1 species